UUCUCACAGUAUAAGUAUCCUGUAGAGGUA
rnacentral:piRNA from 1 species